AUAUGACGUUGAAACACCGAUUCUCUUCCGAUCACCGAAGUUAAGCAACGUCGAGUAUGGUGAGUAUCUAGAUGGGUUCCUGCUUGGGAAUACCAGGUGCUGUAA